CGAAAGUCCAUAGGGAAACAGCCCAGAUCGUACGCAAAGGUCCCUAAGCAAUCACUUAGUGGAAAAGGAAGUUCUCGAGCGAUGUCAACCAGGAGUGGGCUUGGAAGCAGCCAUCCUUUAAAUAAAGCGUAAUAGCUCACUGGUCUAAAUCCAAGGCACCAAAAAUGUCUCAAGGCUCAAGUGAAUCACCGAAGCGAUGAGACCUUGAAAGCAACUUUUUCAAGUUUCAGUAGCGGGACGUUCUGUCAAUCGGGGAAGGUUUUUGGUGACAAGACCUAGAGAUAUCAAAAGUGAGAAUGCUGACAUGAGUAACGAGAAAUCCUGUGAAAAACACGAUCGCCUGCCAGUGGCAGACUUUCCGCGUUCAGUCAAUCUACACAAAGUGAAUCGGUCCCUAAGGAAUCCCCGAAAGGGCUGUCGUCCGAUGGGUACACGAAAGUGACGAAGUAGCUUUGACUACAGAACCAUGCCUGUUUGUUGGAGCGAAUAGGAUGAUCGGGUCGAGGGCUCCCCAUUUUCCCCUCACUCUCCUUUCCUGCUCCGUAGGAUUCACCUUGAGUCAUCAAAGCCUUUCUGACUCGGCCUGGUACGGUCGCCCUACACAACUAGCCGACCGAAAGGCAAAACUAUCGUCUCCUUUUGGCGACCGCUACGUGGGGGGCGAACACCUUUUUUUGUUAUCUUAAAACAUUGACUCUAAAGUGGGCUUUGACUUGACCCAAGGGGCGAGGCGGGUUCCGGCUCGACGCACCUGCCGACACCUUUUUCAGCACUUGAGAGUGUGCACUUUCGUUUUUUAAUGUCUUGUUCAGCCUCACGAGUCUACAAGCCUUUCUCAUUCCAGUGCUCGCCUUUAAUUAGGGGUCCCAAGAGAGCAUACCGCAAUAUU
rnacentral:ncRNA from 1 species